rnacentral:lncRNA from 1 species
AGUGCUUUUGUCAUUGACAUACUCAGUUGCAGCAUCAUGGUUUGGGUAGUCAAUCUUGAGAAAUGCUGGAAAUAGUUUACUGUGUUCUUGUCCUUUUCAUUUCCAUUCUUCCUUUCUAUGCUCCUUCUCCACUGCUGAUUUCAUUUAUUGUUGCAAAAAGGUGCUGCUAAACAUAGGGACUAGUUUUAGACAUACUGUACUUUGGGAUGUCACCACCCUUUUGACAUGGUUUGCUAUGCAUUCCUGUUGAGAGACAUUCACUUGUCAGCAGCUACCCAGAACUGUUCUUCAAUAAUCCUGGUUUAAAAUUAUCCAUAUGAAACAAAAUAAAGAGCUGGCUUCUGCACUGUUUAUUAGUAGCAGCAGUAUUAAUUGGUUUCAGAACUAAUUAUUUUAGCAGAAAAUGCAUUGUGUCUACUACUAUUUCUGUUACUGUACUAUCAAUUUGUGUUUUUAUCUUCCUUUGGAAGAGCUCAAAGGAUUUGGAAUGAUAGAAAUCCAAAAUUCACUCUCUUCUUUCCAUGACAUGAGUCCAAUCAUGAGGUUGUUCAAGAGGCAUAUUUCAGGAGGAACAUUUCAAAUUUCACCUAAACAAGGUGUAUAGGACCAUGAAGUCCAUAAGCCAGUAUUUAUUUAUACAGAACUCAGUGAGAGAGACAACUGACAAAAUGCUCAGCUAUGCCCCAUAGAGGAAAGCAGUUUCUGCCCUAACAGAUGAUGCAGAUUCCUAAUGCUCUUCUAAUGCCUAACACAAACACUAUGAAUAUGCAGACUGUUUUCCUGAGUUUCUUGCUCACAUUUAAGGUUAGUAAAAGGAAAAAUGUAGUCAUUACAAUGGAUGUAUAAUCUUGUUGACAUUGGUAUUUCCACCAAAGAUGGGCAGCUAGACGACAUCCGAUAGAGCCCUGGGCAUGGAUAAUAUCAAGAAAACCUGAGUUCAAAUCUGGCCUCAGACACUAGCUGUGUGACUCUGGGCAAGUUAACUUGUGUCUGCCUCUACUGUAAACUGUAACUAUAAAAUAAGGAUAAUAAUAGCACCUGCCUUCCAGAGCUGUUGAGAGGAGCAAAUGAGCUAUCCGUAAAGUGCUUACUUACCACAGUGCCUGGCAUACGGCAGGUGCUUAAUAAGUCCUUGCUUCCUUCCUUCCAAGAUGCAGAAUGUAACCCAUUUAAGCCUACUCAUUCUGGGCAACUCUCUUCCAUUCAGUCCGAUGAUUUCACCAAAAGGCACCCCCCCAAAAUGCUAGGGGAAGGGGAG